GGGCCCGCACAAGCAGUGGAGUAUGUGGUUUAAUUCGAAGCAACGCGAAGAACCUUACCAAGGCUUGACAUAAUAGUGAAUACGGUAGAGAUACCGUAGCCCUUCGGGGCACUAUUACAGGUGGUGCAUGGUUGUCGUCAGCUCGUGUCGUGAGAUGUUGGGUUAAGUCCCGCAACGAGCGCAACCCCUGUUGCUAGUUGAUAACAUUAAGAUGAUCACUCUAGCGAGACUGCCGGUGAUAAAUCGGAGGAAGGUGGGGACGACGUCAAAUCAUCAUGCCCCUUAUGUCUUGGGCUACACACGUACUACAAUGGCUAUUACAAUGAGAAGCUAAGCUGCAAAGUGGAGCAAAUCUAUAAAAAUAGUCUCAGUUCAGAUUGUGGGCUGCAACCCGCCCACAUGAAGUCGGAAUUGCUAGUAAUGGCAGGUCAGCAUACUGCCGUGAAUACGUUCCCGGGCCUU
rnacentral:rRNA from 1 species